AAAUUGAAGAGUUUGAUCAUGGCUCAGAUUGAACGCUGGCGGCAGGCCUAACACAUGCAAGUCGAGCGGUAGCACAGAGAGCUUGCUCUCGGGUGACGAGCGGCGGACGGGUGAGUAAUGUCUGGGAAACUGCCUGAUGGAGGGGGAUAACUACUGGAAACGGUAGCUAAUACCGCAUAAUGUCGCAAGACCAAAGUGGGGGACCUUCGGGCCUCAUGCCAUCAGAUGUGCCCAGAUGGGAUUAGCUAGUAGGUGGGGUAACGGCUCACCUAGGCGACGAUCCCUAGCUGGUCUGAGAGGAUGACCAGCCACACUGGAACUGAGACACGGUCCAGACUCCUACGGGAGGCAGCAGUGGGGAAUAUUGCACAAUGGGCGCAAGCCUGAUGCAGCCAUGCCGCGUGUGUGAAGAAGGCCUUCGGGUUGUAAAGCACUUUCAGCGGGGAGGAAGGCGGUGAGGUUAAUAACCUCAUCGAUUGACGUUACCCGCAGAAGAAGCACCGGCUAACUCCGUGCCAGCAGCCGCGGUAAUACGGAGGGUGCAAGCGUUAAUCGGAAUUACUGGGCGUAAAGCGCACGCAGGCGGUCUGUCAAGUCGGAUGUGAAAUCCCCGGGCUCAACCUGGGAACUGCAUUCGAAACUGGCAGGCUAGAGUCUUGUAGAGGGGGGUAGAAUUCCAGGUGUAGCGGUGAAAUGCGUAGAGAUCUGGAGGAAUACCGGUGGCGAAGGCGGCCCCCUGGACAAAGACUGACGCUCAGGUGCGAAAGCGUGGGGAGCAAACAGGAUUAGAUACCCUGGUAGUCCACGCCGUAAACGAUGUCGAUUUGGAGGUUGUGCCCUUGAGGCGUGGCUUCCGGAGCUAACGCGUUAAAUCGACCGCCUGGGGAGUACGGCCGCAAGGUUAAAACUCAAAUGAAUUGACGGGGGCCCGCACAAGCGGUGGAGCAUGUGGUUUAAUUCGAUGCAACGCGAAGAACCUUACCUGGUCUUGACAUCCACAGAACUUAGCAGAGAUGCUUUGGUGCCUUCGGGAACUGUGAGACAGGUGCUGCAUGGCUGUCGUCAGCUCGUGUUGUGAAAUGUUGGGUUAAGUCCCGCAACGAGCGCAACCCUUAUCCUUUGUUGCCAGCGGUCCGGCCGGGAACUCAAAGGAGACUGCCAGUGAUAAACUGGAGGAAGGUGGGGAUGACGUCAAGUCAUCAUGGCCCUUACGACCAGGGCUACACACGUGCUACAAUGGCAUAUACAAAGAGAAGCGACCUCGCGAGAGCAAGCGGACCUCAUAAAGUAUGUCGUAGUCCGGAUUGGAGUCUGCAACUCGACUCCAUGAAGUCGGAAUCGCUAGUAAUCGUAGAUCAGAAUGCUACGGUGAAUACGUUCCCGGGCCUUGUACACACCGCCCGUCACACCAUGGGAGUGGGUUGCAAAAGAAGUAGGUAGCUUAACCUUCGGGAGGGCGCUUACCACUUUGUGAUUCAUGACUGGGGUGAAGUCGUAACAAGGUAACCGUAGGGGAACCUGCGGUUGGAUCACCUCCUUACCUUAAAGAA
rnacentral:rRNA from 1 species